UACAGAGGUGGCAAGCGUUGUUCGGAAUUACUGGGCGUAAAGGGCGCGUAGGUGGCCUUCUUAGUCAGACGUGAAAUCCCCAGGCUUAACCUGGGAACUGCGUCUGAUACUGGAAGGCUCGAGUUCGGGAGAGGAAUGUGGAAUUCCAGGUGUAGCGGUGAAAUGCGUAGAUAUCCGGAGGAACACCGGUGGCGAAGGCGGCUUCCUGGACCGACACUGACGCUGAGGCGCGAAAGCUAGGGGAGCAAACGGG
rnacentral:rRNA from 1 species